GUGUAUUGAUGAUACACUUGUUAUUUUACGACAUAAUUUCCUUGAUGAACAAAAACAUCGAGCUUUUUAAUACUGACACUUC
rfam:Oxytricha trifallax strain JRB310 Contig869.1 macronuclear, whole genome shotgun sequence.